ensembl:lncRNA
AAAAGCUCCAGGAGGGCAAGGUGACCCUUGACUUACUCCUCAGACAGCUAUUAAACAGGCAAGAAGCCGAAGGAGUACCUUUACUUCAUCACUUUCCUGCUCUUGGAGGACUUUUACAGAACAUCAGGAUUCACAUAUAAAGUUCUCCAUAGUGAAAAUAUGGACCACAAAUUGUUUUUUGGCAUAACCUUGAUGGUGGGAUCUUGGAUGCUGGAUGGAACGGCAAGCCAAGUUUCCGCACAGUCUUUCACAACAAACAUCACCAACACAGCCUGUGGAAACACCAAGCAGUGUCUGAGCAGCCCGAUGUCCUGCAACCCAAUGGGCAACACAUCGUGUCUGUUUGCCUCCGUCUCGCUGCAAGGAAACAACAUGACUGUGGAGCUUCAAGGGUAUUCUCCUGGGUACAUCGCACUGGGACUCAACGCUGCAAACGCAACACAAAACGCUACGGUGUUUGCCUGUGCCAAUAUAAACAGCAACGUCUCCUUAUUCACCACCAUGUUCACCAACAGCUCCCUGGUCCAAAUGAGCACAGUUAAUGUGAGCUCAAUUCAGGGCUCAGCCAAGGGGACCCUCCUUCAGUGCAUCUUCAGUGUCACUAACUUCAGCUCCUUGCUCAUGAUCAGUGGUGGUGUCACUAGCGUUUAUGGCUUCCUCGCUACUGGGAAUGUCACCAACGGAACACUGCAAGCUCCAGUCAUACAGCUGCAACCUAGUCUGCUGAUCUUGUCUAACAUCUCCACCACUACUGCUUCCCCAACCACCAGCAGCAGCCCUCCAAUCUCCAUUGUCACACAGUCUCUCACUAAAAACAUCACCAACGCAGACUGUGGGAAGACCAAGCGGUGUCUCAGCUUUCCAGAAUCCUGCAACCCAGCGGGCAGCACACCUUGUCUUUUCACCUCCACCAACUUCACAGCACAGGGCAACGUGGCCUUUGAGCUCCGAGGGGAGUCCCCAUCCCCUGGGUACAUCGCAGUGGGACUGAGCAACAGAAGCUCAUUGCAAAAUGGCUUAAUGUUUGCCUGCGCCCAACAAAAUAGCACCAUCUCCAUCUACAACAUCCUGGUGAAAAAUAAUGAGCUGUUCCAGAACAACAUGGUCAGUCUGAGCUCAGGUCAGGGCUCCUUCAGCAGGAACAUCACUCAGUGCACCUUCACUGCCAACUUCAGCUCUGCAGUCUUAACUCGAGCAUCUACCUUGAGCUUUUACGUCUUGCUUGCUAAUGGCACCAUCAUCAAUGGAACACUGCAGGCACCAAAUGUUCAGCUGUCCUCAAACCUCGUGGACCUUUCAACUAGUGGCAGCACUUCACCUAUUUACUCUAUCUUGGCUCUGCUAAUACCACUCAGUGUGGUGACCUUUCAGCUGUUUUGAGGACCUGAAAACAACCAGAUGAAGACAACAGGGUGAUCAAU